UGAGGAAUAUUGGUCAAUGGGCGGGAGCCUGAACCAGCCAAGUAGCGUGAAGGAUGACAGCCCUAUGGGUUUUAAACUUCUUUUAUAAGGGAAUAAAGUGCCCCACGUGUGGGGUUUUGUAUGUACCUUAUGAAUAAGCAUCGGCUAAUUCCGUGCCAGCAGCCGCGGUAAUACGGAAGAUGCGAGCGUUAUCCGGAUUUAUUGGGUUUAAAGGGAGCGUAGGCGGUUCCAUAAGUCAGCGGUAAAAUCGUGCGGCUCAACCGUACCGUGCCGUUGAAACUGUGGGACUUGAGUAUGCGCAGGGUACAUGGAAUUCGUGGUGUAGCGGUGAAAUGCUUAGAUAUCACGAAGAACUCCGAUCGCGAAGGCAUUGUACCGGAGCAAGACUGACGCUGAGGCUCGAAAGUGCGGGUAUCAAACA
rnacentral:rRNA from 1 species